rnacentral:rRNA from 1 species
UACGUAGGGUGCAAGCGUUGUCCGGAAUUAUUGGGCGUAAAGAGCUCGGUAGGCGGUCUGUCGCGAUCGGCUGUGAAAACUCGGGGACUCAACCCCGAGCCUGCAGUCGAUACGGGCAGACUAGAGUGCGGUAGGGGAGAUUGGAAUUCCUGGUGUAGCGGUGGAAUGACGCAGAUAUCAGGAGGAACACCAAUAGGCCGAAAGGCAGAUCUCUGGGCCGUAACUGACGCUGAGGAGCGAAAGCAUAGGGAGCAAACAGG